ensembl:lncRNA
CUUUUUAGAGUUUUUUAGAAAUUGUUAUAAAAUAUUCAUUGGCUAAGUACCUUUUUUGGAACAUCUAAUGAUGAUUUAAAUCCUUUAAGUAAGAUUCUAUAAGGAGAUAAUGAUCCAGACAGCUAACUAAGAAGGUAGACAAGUUCUAUAAUUAGAGGAGGUGAUUCAGCAUCAUCAGAUAUAUUGACUAUACAAAACCGUGGGAAGCUUAUGUGCUCCCCACAAAACAUAGUCCGACUUCUGUUCUAUGGCAGAAGGAACCAUUACUAUGUUUGCGCCUACCUGUCUCACCAGCCUAAAUAUUAAACCCUUAUUUUAAAGCAUUAGCCUACUAGGUACAGAAAUGCCAUAUAGAUUCUAGAGAGCAUUUUAGGAGAGAACCAGGUAUGAUACAUGUCCCCUACGCUAAGCAACAGUUUAUUUGGUUAUUGCAGAACAAUGAGUCAUGGGUGAUUGCCUUUGCUCAGUUUUCAGGAAGAAUCGAUAAUCCAUUUCUAGAUCAUGGACUGUUAAAAUUUACACUAAUACAUCCUUUUAUAUUUCCAAAAUUGUAAAAAAAAAACAGUCCUGUAAAAAUAUGCUAUGUUAGUUAUUACCAAUGGUUCUAUUGGGAGAGUCACUUGCAUAGGUUAUUAAUAGAAAGGAAUAGAUAGAGCAGACAGCUCUGGAUUCAGCUCAAAUAAUCAAACUGCAAGCUGUUGCAAUGAUCUUUCAGAUCCUGGAGGAGAACGAGGCGUGCUGGCUACCAGAAAGAUUGGUGAGAUACGUGGAACCGAGAAAAAUGGGACCUGGGCCCACAGGAGACCAUCUGAAACAGCUGGAGUGAAACACUGGACCUCUAUUUCCUGAACUUUGAGUACAUCCGACUAAUAGUGGGAGGAAGAAGGGAGACACACCCAGUUCCAGCUUCCCUACCGACGGACUACAUUCACCUCUCUGAAUCCGUGAGUGCUCAUCCAGGAGCAGACUAAGAACUUGAUAAAAAAAAACAGCUUGCUUUCUUGCCACAAACAGACACACAAAACUGUUUUGCCAGUUUUCCUGUUGGGAAAAAGGACUCAUUUAGGACAGUCGGAUACUGGCAUAAACCAGAGUGACAGAAGCUCCUUCACAAUGCUUAAACAAGACAUGGACAAAAGACUUUUUAGUUAACUUUCAAAGACUGAUAUUACAAACCUGAUGUUAGAACUUCGGACUUUGAGCAAGAAAUAGAAAAGUUUGAAGGGGCAUUGAGUCCCAGGCAGGGAAUAAAGAAAAAAGGUUUAGAAUUGUGAAAUUGUUCACACCCCACAGAUUGUGAGAAUAUCUUAUUGUCUUUUGAUUGUAUUGUAACUCACCCUAAUGUAUGUUCAUGAGAUUGUUAAUGUCUGUAACCUUGCUAUAUGUGUUAAGCAAAUGUUAUUAGAAACUAGAAGUUAGAGUUCAAUGUAACAAAAAUGUAACGUGUAAUUUACAAGCCUUAGGAUAGAAGUAUGUUUUAAGGAGCAAACUUUAAUAAGGUCCAUAUCAGAGGCCCUAGAGGCAUUGUCACGAAGAUUUUAAAAGGCCAUUUUAACCUUCAUAUGUCUCCAUCCCGCAGGAGAAUGUAUGCAGCCGUGAGGAUUUUGGAGCUGGACCAUCGCCUAUUCCCCACUAACCUUAUUUGUUUUACAGAGACUGUUUCCAGCCAGAGAAAGGUACAGUUUUCCUUGCCUUCAGGGACUCCUAAGACAGAACAUGCAUGAUGGGAUGCAUGAUUCCAUGACAGGCAACCCUGGUAGGUUGAAGGGAGCCUCCUAAAACAGGCGCAGUCAUCUGUUCUGAUGCAGAAGCACAGGCUUCUUUUUAUUAAUUUAAGAGAGAGGAAUUGUGGGGGACCAAAAAUAUUUCCACUAUGGAGUAUUUUGAGAUCCAGGCUGGGGUUUCAGUAAACAUGGAGCACCAGAAAGCUCUGGCCCACUAUUGUAUUGUUAAUGCCAGUAAGGCUACUAUUGUUUACCAUGGCUUCAGGGUAAUAUGCCUCUUAUUUGCAUUUCUGUGGACCUAAGCAUCUGGAUAGGCCCUCACCUGGGCAGAGGUGAGAGGUGUGUGAGGAUGAAAGGUUAGGAGUUAGGGGCAAGCGACCAGAGCAGAGAGAACAAAGAAAGAUGGUUCCCUCGUAGUAUUGGCAGGAUGGUUAAGAAACACCAGAAAGAUGGCUAAUAAAGAAAUGACUCUGGUUCUACCACAUGGAACUGAGAUGAAGUUCUUUGCUAGCUAUUUGCAAGUUCUUAGCAAGUUUGCUAAGUUUUCUUAGUUUGCUAGUUCUUAGCAAGCUCUUUGAAGAUGACAAGAUGCCUGUGUUUGGUCUUUAUCGCCGCUGGGUUGCUAGGAGCUUCCAGGUCCACACACCCCCACUCAGGCCAAACCUCAUGGAUUAAGGCUGAGACAUGCUGGGUCACGACAGGAUUGUAAAUUUUUAUAGAGUGAGAAAACAAAACAUAAAGUAUAAAAUGUACAUGUAAAGCUAUACAGAAAACAUUAAACAGUUCCCAAGUAAUCUCAGUAUAUAAAUGAAUACAAUUGUCAACUUAAUUCUAAAUUGUAUUCAAGGCAAGUAAAGACUCUGUCUUAAACUUCAAGAGGACAUAUGGUUUCUUAUGUGUCAUCACAAGGGACUGAAAACCUCCAUUGCCUAGUCUAAAAGUGUCCCUUUGCUUUUUGUGUAAUGCUUUGAAUGAAUGAGUUCAUUAACACAUAACAAGGGAGGAUUGGGCUGAGAACUCCAAGUCCCUCACAGAGGAGAGAUGUUAAAGGGAUGCCAUAACCAACCAUUGUAAUUUAGCAGGAAUGAGAAGACAGAAAUACUGGAAAGAAAUGAGAAUGGUGGUGGACACCCUCAAUUGUAGAAAGUUGGAAAGACAUAGUCAUGGAUGCAAGAUGGAACCUGCAAGGAGGGCUUGAUUCAAACAGGAUUUCAGACUACCUGAAGACAGUACAAGGGUAGUGAGCCACAGUCAGAAUGUGUUAUCCAUUGCAUAUAGAGGUUUCCUUCUCUUUUCUUUUAAUCUUUGACACAAGAAAAAUGUUAGACUGUUGGUAUUUAAUUGUCCAACUCUCUUAUUUGUGUCCACACUAGGGAAGCAUGGCAGCCACAUGAUUAUUUUGUUUAGGGACAGGUUAAGUAGGGUUGAUGUAUAGAGAUAUUCUUUCUUUUGGUUAAUAUAACUCCACAACACUGAAUUACUGCACUGUUAAGUUUGAAUAGUGAGGCUGUUGAAGAAACAAAUUCUAAAAGGUCAUUUUUAUGCACAGACACACUUUUCUUAGGAAACUCCUCCAGGAUCUAGUUUAUUGAAUUUUUAUCCUGUUGCAUUAACUAAAUCAUGUAAUUUCACAUUUAGACAAAAUGAAAGGCACGUUAGUCAAUAGCCAUUAGACUCUAACACAAAUAACCAUUAACAACCUUAUUUUAUUUUAUUUUGGUUUUUUGAGCAGGGUUUCCUUGUGGCUUUGGAGGCUGUCCUGGAACUAGCUCUUGUAGACCAGGCUGGUUGAGAAUUCACAGAGAUCCACUUACCUCUGCCUCCUGAGUGCUGGUAUUAAAGGUGUGCGCCACCACCACCUGGCUGCACAACCUCAUUUUAUUGAGCACAAAAACAUACAGUAGUGGCCUCUCUCACAUGUAUCCUUAAAUACUUAAUAUUCCCCAAACAUCACUGUCCUAUUCACUUUCCAUUUAGGAUAGUGGGUUUCUUUUUAGAUAAGAACUAGAAUUUUUUUGAUGAAUUUUAUUUUUUUUCCAAAAUAGUUAUAUCAAUAAUUAUUUUAGUUAGUGUUUGGAUGGAUAUAUGAGCUCAAAAUUAAUACUAGUACAAAUAUGGGUUUAUUACCAAUUUAUCUGUGUGGUAUUGAAAGAUAAUGACAAAAUUUAAUUGCAAACAGACUUGAAUUAAUUUUUUUCAGCCUGGCCAAUGGUCCUAUAUUCCAUAUGGGUAUAUCACGCAAGGCUGUUUUUGCUGUGUUUCUCAAAAUGGUCCUGUUAAAUGAGCCCCUAAUUUUUUUGGAAGCUAAUAUUAAUUGUCCUGGAAAAUGUGGAUUAAAUGCUUAAAUAAAAGUUCAUUUGCUAAACUUAAGAUGAAAAAGUUGCAAAACUUUGCUCUUGGUUAACAUGCACUUGUUCAAAGCAAUUGAGAUUUGAAUUAUUUUGUACCAGAUUAUGAAAUGAAAUACUUUUUAAAUACAUGGAACAAAGAUUUGUG